rnacentral:lncRNA from 1 species
AAACGUAGUCAAAUCCUCGGAUUUCGAGAAUUCACUUCCCUUACAUUCUCCCCACCUUAAAAGAGUUUCGUCCUCGAAACGAACUCAAUAACACUAAAUUCAUCCAGAACUUAAACUCUAGAUCCAUACCUCAGCUCAAUCUUCAAAUAAGUGAGGAUGAUGCAUCUUCAUCUCGCUCUCGAGCUCCCAAGUGGCUUCGCGAUCACUAUGAUUGCUCCACCGAACUCUAACAUAAGGGAUCUCGGAACUUCUCAACUUGCGCACUUCUCGAGCUAGAAUCUCCACCGAAAACUCUUCGUAACUCACAUCUUCUUGCAAUUCCGGUGGCUCAUAGACCAAGACGUGCUCCGGAUCAUGCACAUACUUGCGGAGAUUGGAGACGUGGAAUACAUUGUGCACACCCGCAAGCUUCGGGGGCAAUGCAAUUCGGUAUGCCACCGUCCCAAUUCGCUCCAAAACCUCGUAGGGGCCAAUGUAACGAGGACUCAACUUCCCUCGCACCCCAAAUCUCUUCACACCCCUCAUCGGCGAAACCUUCAAGAACACGCGGUCACCUACCGCGAACUCCAGAUCUCUAUGGCGCUUAUCGGAAUAACACUUUUGUCGAGACUGCGCCGUGAGCAAUCUCUUGCGAGCAAGGUGGACUUUCUCCUCCGCCUCUCGCAACACGUCGGGACCGAAUUCUACUCGCUCGCCCACAUCACUCCAAUGAAUAGGAGACCAGCACUUCCGCCCAUAAAGAGCCUCGAACGGUGCCAUUCCCACACUCGCAUGAUAACUGUUGUUGUAGGCGAACUCGGCCAUCGGCAGGUGCUUACACCAACUCCCCUUAUAAUCAAUGGCACACGCCCAUAACAUAUCCUCCAGGGUUUGAAUGGUUCUGUCACGCCCCCGACCGCACGACCCGAAGACGGUACCAAUUUGGUCCGGUUCGAGGGCGGCGGGCGUGAGGCCGAACGGACAGAGUCUCCCCUGUCCGCCCAAGGCUCCAACGACGAGACUGUGUACAACAAGUUCCCAAGAAAACAACUUGAAUACAUACACAAUCAUUCAAUAACAACGAAAGCACAACCAGUGCUAUACAAUACGAGAGCAAGCAUCACGAGUAAUACAAUCAUACAAGUGAAUAAAAGAGAGAUACUUAACUAUUAAGCUCAUUUAACUUUAUACAAUUAUUUUCUUUUAACUUGAAUACUUUGAUUACAUUCAUUCAAGUUUAUGUACAACCACUCUCCAAACCUCACCCUAUACAACAUCUACUCUCAAAAUAUAAAGCAUAGGGUGGAGCUAAUGCAAGGGGAAAGUAAAGCUAUCUACCAGUACCACGCCGCUAGGGCGCUACGCCCUUGCCGCGAUCCUCACCGGGGGCGCUCGAGCUCGGACCUAUAACAUGGUGGAGUGAGAACUACGAAUAGUUCCCAGUGGGUUCGGCCGCCGACUCCGCCGAUCUCCCCACUAGGUCUAAGCAGGCACAGAUAGAUAUGCAGAUAGAUAGAUAUAUGGAAACGAAAGCAUAUUCAAUAAUGAGCAUCUAUGAACUAGAAUCUAUCAAUGCCUCAAUCCAACGUAAUGCAUGCAUGGAACUCAUAGUAAGAUGGCCAGCUAUCGACUACUAUGUUCAACAAAUGAGUUAUUCAUCUGAUUACCCAAUCUCUCGGCGAACCCAGGGCUCGCUCACGGUCUCACGUGUAUCAAUCUCAUAGGGAAGGAGGCUAGCUAUCACCUACCCCGAGACCGCCUGCGGACACUACACUGGUCCAAGGGCACUACACUGGCCCCCUCGCGUGCCAAACUCCGGAGUGCACUACCUGUGAGGCGCUACCACCACAGGUGCAGACAAGCUAAGUGAGCUCGAUCCAAUCUCAUGAACUGGGAACAUCCUAACCAACUAGGAUUGGUGUCACUGAAGCAUCGGUGUUCAUCUGCUCAAUCUCAUAGUGUCUCAACUACACUAAGGUUCUCAAGUUCAAUGUCAACUAGAUGCCACUCGUUCUGGGUUCAUUGUUAACUAGAUGCCACUCGUUCUUAUUACACUAGUUUACAAUAUACAAGGUCCUAUUCACAUAGACAUAUUCAUCACAUAUAGGGUUAACUACCUCAUAGUGUUCAAUUCAUGCAUACUAGGUUCUCAUCCAUUGUAUUCACAACCCAAACUAUCACUAGCAUGCAAGGAUAUGCACAAUUACAUUUAACACCCUAUAAUGCUAUAUUACAGUAUGGAAUUGAUCGACAUAAUAACCCAGACAUAGAAAGCAGCUCGACUGCUUCGGGAUGGCACUCCCCCACCUUGUGGUGAUGCUGUGCGGUUAGACAACUCGACGUCGCGGUCCACGUACGUCGCUUCACACCUCAGGGCAAAGCGAGCCCUCAAGUACUUGUUUUGGCGAUAACUCCGCACCCGCUCGUUGGAUCGGCGAACCGUCUUCGCCGACGCGUUCGGAGACCUAGCAAUUAGGUUUGCGAUCCAUCAACAUAGAUCAAAACCCUAGAUUUGCUAAAAUCCCAAAUCGGAGCCCUAGGUCUCAACAACAGAGAAAUCCGAGGUGCGAGCUUCAAAUUCGAGCUCGAACCAACACUGAAGCUCCAAUAGGUUCCAUUCGAACCAUCUCUAACGAUUAAAACCCUAGCUUACAAAAUCCACCAUCAAAGGGUUUGAGGCUUACCUCAAUAACCAAGCUCCAAGCGUAAGAGAGGGAGAGAAGAAGAUGUCUUCUUCUUCUUAGUCCUCUCCUUCUCUUUCUUCUUCUUUCUCCUCUUCCUUUCCUUCCUCUCCUUCUUCUUCUCCUUCUUUUUCCUUCUAGAGAGAGAGAGCAAAGAGAGUGAGAGGGGGAGAAAGCAACUGAGAGGGAGAGAGGGGUCCCCCACCUCUAAUAAAGGCCAUUUUGCAGAUAGCCCCCUCAACUUUUCAUCCAGUACACAGCCCUCACUGGGCUGUUUUCGCAGCGAGGGACCGGUCCCAGGUCGGGGAGACCGGUCCCCGAAGGCCACCCAUUCGGGCAGAGGGGAUUUCGCGUUCGGGAACCGGUCCCUGUCUGAGAGACCGGUCCCCGGGAGACCGGUCCUUGCCUGAGAGACCGGUUCCCGAGAGCAGCAUUUUCGGGACUUAGCCAAAUUUCGGCUAAUCGCGCGGGGCCAACGUUCGGGAACCGGUCCCUGCCUGCCAGAGACCGGUUAAACCGAGGAACCCCGCCAGCCCAGCCUGAUGGGACCGGUCCCUCCCUGCCAGGGACCGGUCCCUGAGAGCAAAUUCUGCUCCAGUGCAGAUUUUGCGCUGCAGCUCUCGCGGACCCUUCCUCAAUGUACUCUAGGCAUUUUAAUCAGCUUCGGGCUUUCCAAAGCCCGUACCCUCGACAAACAGUCGAUUCUGAGUGAAGUCCAAUCCUCGGCCUUCGAGAAUUUUCUUUCUCACAGGUUCUUUCGGUCUGCCCAUCGGUCUGAGGAUGAAAAGCGGUACUAAACUCGAGCCGCGUGCCAAGGGCUUCUUGCAGGCUUCUCCAAAAGUGUGAAGUGAACUUGGGGUCUCGAUCUGACACAAUCGACUUCGGCACCCCGUGCAACCUCACCACCUCGUCAAGAUAUACCUGCGCGAGCUUCUCACCUGCCCAAGUAUUGUGGAUCGGCAGAAAGUGCGCCGCUUUCGUCAGACGAUCCACAAUUUCCCAAAUUGCAUCGUGGCCACCCGUUGAACGAGGUAAGCCGACGAUAAAGUCCAUCGAUAUAUCCUCCCAUUUCCAGACGGGAAUAGAUAAACUCUGAAGCUUCCCCGCUGGAAACCGUCGCUCCGCUUUCACCUAUUGGCAUACCAAACACUUCGCCACGAAGCGCCCAAUAUCAGCUUUCAUUCCCGGCCACCAAUAUAGUGUCUUCAACUCGUGAAACAUCUUGGUGCCGCCCGGGUGGUCGGCAUAAGGAGACCAAUGCGCUUCUUGCAAAAUCAGCUUGCGAAGCUCCUCGUCGUUUGGCACACACCACCGGUUUCGAAACCGUAGUGCACCACUAGCAUCCACGCCGAAAUCUCCGCCAUGGCCACUCUCGACAUCGUGCCACACCUUUUGGAGACUCGGGUCCGCGGAUUGCAGACUCUUAAUCCUCUCCAACAAGGUCGGUUGGAUUACCAACGUCAUCAACCUAGUCGGAAUUUCUAGAGCCACCACCUCAAGAUCCAUCUUUCCCAUUUGCAACCAUAGGGGCGUCUGAUUUGUAACCCACAAGGCGAGGUUCUCCGCCGACUUCCGACUAAGCGCGUCCGCGACUACAUUCGCUUUCCCGGGGUGGUAAAGGAUAUCGACAUCGUAAUCCUUAAGCAAUUCCAACCACCGCCGUUGCCGCAUGUUCAGCUCCUUCUGGGUAAACAAAUACUUCAAGCUUUUAUGGUCGGUGUAGAUCUCACAAUGAGCACCAUACAGGUAGAGUCUCCAAAGCUUCAAAGCAAAGAUCACCGCUGCCAAUUCUAAAUCAUGUAUGGGGUAGUUCCUCUCGCAGCUCUUCAACUGACGGGAUGCAUAGGCAAUCACUCUCCCGCCUUGCAUCAGCACACACCCCAAACCCAGAUAGGACGCAUCACUAUAAACCACGUAAUCUUCACCCUGCACCGGUAAGGCUAGUACCGGAGUCGAAGUUAAUCUCUCCUUCAACUCUUUAAAACUCCGGUCGCACUCGUCGCUCCAAAUGAAUCUGGUGCCCUUCUGCGUCAGACGGGUGAGUGGAGUCACGAUCUUUGAGAAUCCCUCCACAAACCGUCGAUAAUAGCCCGCUAAGCCCACAAAGCUUCGGACUUCCGCAACAUUCGUCGGGCGCGGCCAACUCUCAACAGCCUCUACUUUCCUCGGGUCCACAGAAACACCGCCUUCAGAAAUAACAUGCCCGAGAAAAGCGACUUCUCGGAGCCAGAAGUCACACUUCUUCAACGUUGCGUACAACUUCUUCUCCCGAAGGAUUUGAAGUACAAUGCGCAAAUGCUCCGCAUGCUCCCCUUCAUUACGGGAAUAGACCAAGAUGUCGUCUAUGAAGACUACGACAAAUCGGUCUAGACACUCCCUGAACACUCGGUUCAUCAAGCUCAUGAACGCAGCCGGGGCAUUUGUAAGCCCAAACGGCAUCACAGUGAACUCGUAGUGUAAUAGACUGAAAAUUGCUUAUAAGCUAAUUGUGAUUAAAGUAGUCACAAUAAUGCUAAAAUGGAAAGUAAGCAUUUCUGAACCCGAUUAGUAGCUUGAGAACAUCCAUUGGUAGGUUUUGGAUGUGUGACAAGAGACAUGAAUGAAAUCGAAGCAACAAAAGAACUCCAAUUGCCAUUUGAGUCGAAAACUGAAAUUUUUAGUCAAUUGGUCAAAAAUGACCACAUUGAUGCAAAAUUGAGAACUAAUUGCUCCCAAAUCAAUUUGAUAGAUUGGGAAGCUUCUUUGGAUAAGUUUAAAUGUGUUAGAAUGGAAUUGGAGUGACUCGAAUAAGAGGAAUAAGAAUAGGAACCUCUGUUGCUGAAAUGCUGAAAUUUUAGUUAACUUGAUCAAAAGUGAUCAAAUUAAUGCAAAUUUGAGAAUUAAAAGUUACCAAAUUAAUUUGGUAGCUUGGGAAGUUCAUUUGGAAUGUUUUUGAAGUGUUGGAAUGAAAAAGGAAUGAGUUAAAUCAAAGGAAAAGAGAAUCGAAGCAGCUGCUGUUCCUGCUGCUGCUGUUGCUGCUGGUGCACUGUGUACCGGUACAACAAGUAGCCUGUACCGGUACAGCAGUUACGGGCAGCACUUGUCCACUAAUGCAAUUUCAGCAUUUUGAGGGGCCAAAGUGCAAUUGUAUGGUCUUAUCUCUUCACCCUUAGUGGAAUACACAUGCCCAGAUGCUGAAGAGUCAUUUCCCUCCAUUCCUUAUCAUCUAAUUNACAGAUAGAUAGAUAGAUAGAUAUAUGAAAAUAAACUGCUACUAUAUCUACUAUGCCACCAAAUGCAAGGAAUGCAUGCAACAUCAUUUAUCAUGCUAGUAUGCUUCAACGAUGUAAUGAAUACAAAUGCAACAUGGUUAUGUAAUCCUCUAACAUAUACUAUGUCUAAUCAGGGUAUGAAUGCAAAUCCACUUAUGCUAUUCAUGUCAUUACCCAAACCACUAGGCUACCCCGCCUAAGAUCUCAAAUCUCAUAGGUACUCACACUACAAUCUAGUAAGUGAAGAGGUGAAGAGCUACCUCGCUCUUCGCCCCGACUGAUAUCUCAAAUCUCAUAGGUGAGGAGCUACCCCGCUCUUAUCUCACCCGUCUCACAUCUCAAAGGUCAUAGAUGAAGAGCUACCCCGCUCUAAUCUCAUAGAUAAUGAGCUGCCCCGCUCAAUCUCAAAGGUCAAGAGCUACCCCGCUCGUAGGUAAAGAGCUACCCCGCUCGUAGGUAAAGAGCUACCCCGCUCUAAUCUCACAGGUGAAGAGCUACCCCGCCCUUCGCCCGACUCACUUCCCAGUCCAAUGGGUGGGGAGCUACCCCGCUCGUAACCCACCCGAUGAGCUACCCCGCUCGUGAGCUACCCCGCUCGUGUGACAACUCCGGAGUGCACUGCUUGUGGGGAGCGACCGCCACAAGCCCAAAACAGACUAUGUGACCUGUCAACUAGGUUAACAAUCACUUGAUAAUCCACCUAUCCCUAGGUCCAUGUCAAGUGUCUCAACCAUAUCAAAUCUCGAUGCCACUCACCUAGGUCUAAGCAACUCUAGGUUCCACAACACUAGGUUUAAUGUCAACCUAUGUUUAACAACAUUAUAUUAAUGCCACUCGAUCUAUCCUAGGUUCACGACACUAGGUUUAGAUGCCACAUAAUCUCCAUAAUUAACAAUAGGUUAACAUUCAUUUCAUCUAGCAUAUAUGUUCUAUAAAGCCAACAUGCAUCAUAAUGCUAAUAUGCCAUUAUCAACUAGCAUGCAAAUCCGUUCAUAAUGCUACAUGCAUACAAUCUCCAUUACACUAGUUCACAUGUCACUAGUUUCAUUAUCAAGUCCAAGUUCUUUGUUUUUCUUUACAUUAUAGGAUCUCAUGUCCCAACCUUAAUCAUCAUACAUUCUAGAUUUAAGUGUCAAGUCUAUAUAAUACUACACAACUAGACAUGCAUGCAAGAAAAUAGGAAUGUAACUAUUCAUAUAUCCUAUAAUGCAUAAGAACCAUAUAUAUGAAAUAUGAUCAAAGAUCUAACUCGGACAUAGAAGGAAGCCCGAUUGCUUCGGAUAGACACCCCCCACCUUUUUACAGCGUUCCGAUUGCUCGUCGUCACUCGCAAUCGGCCUCCCGCGGCGCACGCCGCUCGGCUCGACCCUAUUCACGCGCGACCACCGAACGACCUCCGCUUCGCGAUCCGAGGAUUAUAGGUCUUCGGUUUUCUGUUACGAUGCUCGGGAUCCAAUCCCACAAUUUAUGGAAGCCGCCUCGACUCCCCAGGUCAAUACGAACUCACAAACACUUGAUUCAGCCGGAACGUCGCACCCGCUCGACGAAUCGACGAACCGUCGCUUCCUACGCGUUCGGAGACAUAACAAUUAGGUUUCUGACCACUCAAAAGAGAUCAAACCCAACUACUUACAAAAACCCCAUUUUUUAACCCUAGGUUUGCAAUUAGAUAAAAAUCCACCAUUAGUGUCACGACCCGCAACCACCCGCCUAUUUGGCCGAGGUCGCGGCGCCGCCGACAGACCGCCGAACGGACAGAGUCUCCCCUGUACGUCCUAGGCGUCGCAAUCAAUACAAGUACAAGAAGUUCCAACUAGGAACAGUAUUCAAGCAAGAUUGCAUAAGGAAGGUAUCAAACAACAUAACACAUCCUAUAUUAUUACACGCAUUCAUUAGAUUCAUUUUUACAUCAUAUUAGCAUUAUUACAUUACAUUUUCUUCCAAAUACAAUCAAUGAUCGCAAUAUUAAUACAAGUUUACUCUUUUUCUUUUCCCUCUACCCCUAGGCUAUGCCGACUCGGGGUACCUCUAUCUCUGGUCUCUGGGGUAGGGCGCUAUCUAUGGAGCUACGCCCUCGCCUUGCGCCGCCGCGCCACUCACGUGCGAACCUGUAAAACCCCAAAACAACGUGGGGUGAGAACCAACUCCAUGGUUCCCAGUGGGUACGGCCACCCAAGGGAAAAGCUCGACCAAUAGGUCUAAGGAGGCCCUGCAACAUGUUAGUCCAACAGAUAUCCAACAGAUAUAUAUAUUCAAGUAUUGAAAUACAUGUUGUGCCUCACAAAAUGCAAUAUGAAAUUCAUGCAGUUUAUGCAACCAUGCAACCAACUAGUAGUUCAAUCGAUACUACUUUUAUUCCUGUUAUUCACAGUUCAACCAAUUGACUUCUAAGUUUUCCUCUAUCUUAGAUUCUUGUCAAUUACAAUUCUGCUCAUAGGGUUUAACCUGCUUUUAUAAGCUAUCCACUCGACUCGGUCUUGAGUCAAUCAUACGCGGAAUACCGCACAAAGCCAGGCUCAAGGUGAAGGAUGUCUCACAUGCACCUCAGCCCUAAAUCCACUCAACUGGGAUGCAACUAAAACUCAUACCAUGCAUCAAAUAGUAAAGGUUUACUAUCAUGCUAACAAAUUCGAUCCAUGUUCGAAUAAUAAUGUUCAAUGGCAUUGUUCACUGUUCUUUUACCCAAUCUGUAGCGAAGCCCUAGGGUUCGCCAAUAACUCAUCUUUCAAUCCCAAAGUGGGGAGGGAGCUCCAAGUGCACCCAAGCCCGGGACCGUCUGCGGACCUCCAUGUGGUCCGGACCUCCAAGUGGUCCUAGUCGCACGACACUCCGGAGUACUCGACGACAAUCCCCUCCAUGUGGGGAUUGGAUGGCUAUACCAUCCCAAACGCAGACUGUGAGCUAGAUCUAUCCUCUCCAAGUGAGGAUACUCUACAACUAGGGUCCACAACCCAAUCAAAUCCUCUCCAAGUGAGGAUGCUCUACAACUAGAGUCAACGACCCAAUCAAAUCCUCUCCAAGUGAGGAUGCUCUACAACUAGAGUCAAUAUCUCAAUAACUCAUCGACCACCUCUCCAUGUGAGGGUACUUAGGUUCACUAAGUUCUUUAUACACAAGGCAUUUUCUAAGGGAUUCACCUAUCCCUAGGUUCUCAAACCUCUAGUGUCAAAUACACUACAUUAAUGCCACUCGAUGUGUUUUUGUUUUCCAAUGUCAAUUUCUCUAAUCGACCAAGUUCAACAUGCAUAAUCCAUCCACUAUGUUCCACAAUAUGGCAACAUGUAUAAUUCUUCUAUCAUAUGCAAUAUAUGUCAUCAUGUAUAUGUUUCUAUUUAACAUAAUCCACAAUAUGUUAAUUCACAACAUGUCAUCAUGCACAUAUAUUACUAGCAUCACAUGAUAUGUCAACAUACAUAUAAUCAUCAUCCAAAGUAGUCUAUACUUGGCAUCUCAUGCAUUCUUUUAGCAUUUAAUUCAUUAUACAUUUCAUCUCAUUGGUAGGUAAUAUCAACUAUAUAAUAUGUUCUAAGCAUUCAUAUUAUCUUGUAAGCCUACCAAUACAACUAUAUGCAUCAAUGUGAACUCGUAUGUUUCUUAAACAUAAAGGGCGACCUAGUCGCUUCGGUAAGCACAACCCACCUCAUUUUGCAUUCCGAUUGCUUGUCGACACUUGCAAUCGGCCUUCCGCGGCACCCGGUACCCGGUUUGGCCCGAUCUCUCGCGCGACCACCCGAACGGCCUCCAAUCCACGAUCCGAAAAUUAAAGGUCUUCGGUUAUGUGCCACGAUGCUUCAAAUCCAUUUUCAUGAAUUUACGAUGUCGCCUCGGCCCUCCCGGCGGACCCGAAGCCUAAACGUCCAUUUCUUUAAUAACUUUGUAACGGCUCGUCGGAUUGCCGAACCGUCUUCGCCAACGCGUUUCGUUACCUCAAUGUGAACGCCGCGACGAAAAUACGCCGCUCCAACGGGCGCACGAAAGCUCGAUCCGUCGCCUCCAAUGCGUUCGCAAGCAUCUUCUCCACCAACCCUCCAAUUUUUAGAGAGAGAUUUAGAGAGAUGAGAGAGAUCUCUAGAGAGAGAAGGGAGGGUUUCCCUCCCCCUCCAUGCGCGUGUGUGUGUGUGGUGUGUGUGCGGCUGAAGGAGAAGAAGAGGAG